CCUACGGGAGGCAGCAGUGGGGAAUAUUGGACAAUGGGGGGAACCCUGAUCCAGCGACGCCGCGUGAGUGAAGAAGUAUUUCGGUAUGUAAAGCUCUAUCAGCAGGGAAGAAAGAAAUGACGGUACCUGACUAAGAAGCCCCGCUAAACACGUGCCAGGAGCCGCGGUAAAACGGAGGGGGCAAGCGUUAUCCGGAUUUACUGGGUGGAAAGGGGGCGUAGACGGCGAUGCAAGUCUGGAGUGAAAGGGGGGGGCCCAACCCCCGGACUGCUUUGGAAACUGUAUGGCUGGAGUGCAGGAGAGGUAAGUGGAAUUCCUAGUGUAGCGGUGAAAUGCGUAGAUAUUAGGAGGAACACCAGUGGCGAAGGCGGCUUACUGGACUGUAACUGACGUUGAGGCUCGAAGGCGUGGGGAGCAAACAGGAUUAGAUACCCUGGUAGUC
rnacentral:rRNA from 1 species